AUGGCUCAGAUUGAACGCUGGCGGCGUGCUUAACACAUGCAAGUCGCGCGUGAAAGGACUUCGGUCCGAGUAAAGCGGCGCACGGGUGAGUAACGCGUGGAUGAUCUACCCAUGAGUUAGGAAUAACGGCUGGAAACGGUCGCUAAUACCAAAUACGCUCCGAUUUCAGUCUUCGGGGGAAAGGUGGCCUCUGCUUGCAAGCUACUGCUCAUGGAUGAGUCCGCGUCCCAUUAGCUAGUUGGUGGGGUAACGGCCCACCAAGGCGACGAUGGGUAGCCGGUCUGAGAGGAUGACCGGCCACACUGGGACUGGAACACGGCCCAGACUCCUACGGGAGGCAGCAGUGGGGAAUAUUGCGCAAUGGGCGAAAGCCUGACGCAGCGACGCCGCGUGAAGGGGAUGAAGGUCCUCGGAUCGUAAAACCUCUGUCAGGAGGGAAGAACCGCCACGGUGCUAAUCAGCCGUGGUCUGACGGUACCUCCAAAGGAAGCACCGGCUAACUCCGUGCCAGCAGCCGC
rnacentral:rRNA from 1 species